rnacentral:rRNA from 1 species
GGCCAGACUCCUACGGGAGGCAGCAGUGGGGAAUAUUGCACAAUGGGGGGAACCCUGAUGCAGCGACGCCGCGUGGGUGAAGGGGCACCUCGGUGCGUAAAGCCCUAUCGGCAGGGAAGAAAAGCGAACAGGUUCGCCCGGACGGUGCCUGACUAAGAAGCCCCGGCUAACUACGUGCCAGCAGCCGCGGUAAUACGUAGGGGGCAAGCGUUAUCCAGAUUCACUGGGUGUAAAGGGAGGGUAGACGGCGGCGCAAGUCUGGAGUGAAAGCCCGGGGCCCAACCCCGGGACUGCUCUGGAAACUGCGGCGCUGGAGUACGGGAGGGGCAGGCGGAAUUCCUGGUGUAGCGGUGAAAUGCGUAGAUAUCAGGAGGAACACCGGCGGCGAAGGCGGCCUGCUGGACCGUGACUGGCGUUGAGGCUCGAGAGCGUGGGGAGCAAACAGGAUUAGAUACCCCCGUA